rnacentral:rRNA from 1 species
UACGUAGGGUGCGAGCGUUGUCCGGAAUUAUUGGGCGUAAAGGGCUCGUAGGCGGUCUGUCGCGUCUGCUGUGAAAAUCCGGGGCUCAACCCCGGACUUGCAGUGGGUACGGGCAGACUAGAGUGUGGUAGGGGAGACUGGAAUUCCUGGUGUAGCGGUGAAAUGCGCAGAUAUCAGGAGGAACACCGGUGGCGAAGGCGGGUCUCUGGGCCGUAACUGACGCUGAGGAGCGAAAGCGUGGGGAGCGAACAGG